ensembl:lncRNA
CUCCCCUGAGCCUCCUCUUCUCCAGGUGAACAAUCCCAGCUCCCUCAGCCGCCCCCCAUCAGACCUGUGCUCCAGACCCCUCACAGCUUCGCUGCCCUUCUCUGGACACGCUCCAGUGCCUCAAUGUCUUUCACACAGUGAGGAGCCCAAACCCGAGCACAGCACUGAGGUGCGGCCUAAACACUCACAGCCCACCAGGAACUUCUGGCGGUCCCGCGGACUGCGAGACGCAACUGAAGCUCACCCAUCUGAAAGCAAAAGAGUGAAAAGAGCCAAGCCGAGUUUAUUGAAAGCAUCCACGGUAACUUUUUAUUGAAGACCCGUAGAAAGCAGCACGGAACACUGAGCGAUGCCACGGCUCCCUGCAGGACCGAGCUCCUCGCGCAGCCCUCCAACUCCCGCUCCUCAGCACACGGCUCUGCGGGACGCCCAUCGCCACCUUCAUUAACCCUUGCCUCCCUACAGAGCAGAACGAGCAAAGCCAAGCGCCGCACGCGGAGCGCCGCGUACCUACCGCUGAGCGGGCGCCAGGCUCCGAGAGGGGCCGGGGCCGGGCGGGUCCCAGCGGCGGGGGCACCGCGCGGCCGAGCGCUGCGGCGGGACAUGGCUCGGGGACACCUUAACCCCGCGGCCGGACGGGAUGCUACAGAAAUUUGGUAUCCUCACCAUCACCUCCCAAGAGGUUUGGCACAGGGAUGCUCCAGCACGAAGUGGGCAUCAGCAUCUUGGACUUCACCCUUCUUAGACCUCACUGCAGGACCCUUUCCUCUUUAAAUCACGAAUCCUGCAGAGCAGAGGAU